GGAUUGUGGCUCAGCGGUAGAGCACUCACCUAGCGUGUGCGGGGCACUGGGUUCGAUCCUCAGCACCA
rnacentral:tRNA from 1 species